rnacentral:rRNA from 1 species
AUAAUGGGUCAGCGACUUAUAUUCUGUAGCAAGGUUAACCGAAUAGGGGAGCCGAAGGGAAACCGAGUCUUAACUGGGCGUUAAGUUGCAGGGUAUAGACCCGAAACCCGGUGAUCUAGCCAUGGGCAGGUUGAAGGUUGGGUAACACUAACUGGAGGACCGAACCGACUAAUGUUGAAAAAUUAGCGGAUGACUUGUGGCUGGGGGUGAAAGGCCAAUCAAACCGGGAGAUAGCUGGUUCUCCCCGAAAGCUAUUUAGGUAGCGCCUCGUGAAUUCAUCUCCGGGGGUAGAGCACUGUUUCGGCAAGGGGGUCAUCCCGACUUACCAACCCGAUGCAAACUGCGAAUACCGGAGAAUGUUAUCACGGGAGACACACGGCGGGUGCUAACGUCCGUCGUGAAGAGGGAAACAACCCAGACCGCCAGCUAAGGUCCCAAAGUCAUGGUUAAGUGGGAAACGAUGUGGGAAGGCCCAGACAGCCAGGAUGUUGGCUUAGAAGCAGCCAUCAUUUAAAGAAAGCGUAAUAGCUCACUGGUCGAGUCGGCCUGCGCGGAAGAUGUAACGGGGCUAAACCAUGCACCGAAGCUGCGGCAGCGACGCUUAUGCGUUGUUGGGUAGGGGAGCGUUCUGUAAGCCUGUGAAGGUGUACUGUGAGGUAUGCUGGAGGUAUCAGAAGUGCGAAUGCUGACAUAAGUAACGAUAAAGCGGGUGAAAAGCCCGCUCGCCGGAAGACCAAGGGUUCCUGUCCAACGUUAAUCGGGGCAGGGUGAGUCGACCCCUAAGGCGAGGCCGAAAGGCGUAGUCGAUGGGAAACAGGUUAAUAUUCCUGUACUUGGUGUUACUGCGAAGGGGGGACGGAGAAGGCUAUGUUGGCCGGGCGACGGUUGUCCCGGUUUAAGCGUGUAGGCUGGUUUUCCAGGCAAAUCCGGAAAAUCAAGGCUGAGGCGUGAUGACGAGGCACUACGGUGCUGAAGCAACAAAUGCCCUGCUUCCAGGAAAAGCCUCUAAGCAUCAGGUAACAUCAAAUCGUACCCCAAACCGACACAGGUGGUCAGGUAGAGAAUACCAAGGCGCUUGAGAGAACUCGGGUGAAGGAACUAGGCAAAAUGGUGCCGUAACUUCGGGAGAAGGCACGCUGAUAUGUAGGUGAAGUCCCUCGCGGAUGGAGCUGAAAUCAGUCGAAGAUACCAGCUGGCUGCAACUGUUUAUUAAAAACACAGCACUGUGCAAACACGAAAGUGGACGUAUACGGUGUGACGCCUGCCCGGUGCCGGAAGGUUAAUUGAUGGGGUUAGCGCAAGCGAAGCUCUUGAUCGAAGCCCCGGUAAACGGCGGCCGUAACUAUAACGGUCCUAAGGUAGCGAAAUUCCUUGUCGGGUAAGUUCCGACCUGCACGAAUGGCGUAAUGAUGGCCAGGCUGUCUCCACCCGAGACUCAGUGAAAUUGAACUCGCUGUGAAGAUGCAGUGUACCCGCGGCAAGACGGAAAGACCCCGUGAACCUUUACUAUAGCUUGACACUGAACAUUGAGCCUUGAUGUGUAGGAUAGGUGGGAGGCUUUGAAGUGUGGACGCCAGUCUGCAUGGAGCCGACCUUGAAAUACCACCCUUUAAUGUUUGAUGUUCUAACGUUGACCCGUAAUCCGGGUUGCGG